UACGUAGGGGGCGAGCGUUGUCCGGAAUUAUUGGGCGUAAAGAGCGUGUAGGCGGUUCGGUAAGUCUGCCGUGAAAACCUGGGGCUCAACCCCAGGCGUGCGGUGGAAACUGCCUAACUAGAGGAUGGUAGAGGGGAGUGGAAUUCCCGGUGUAGCGGUGAAAUGCGCAGAUAUCGGGAGGAACACCAGUAGCGAAGGCGGCUCCCUGGGCCAUUCCUGACGCUGAGACGCGAAAGCGUGGGGAGCAAACAGG
rnacentral:rRNA from 1 species